rnacentral:rRNA from 1 species
ACCGAUUAUGAUUGGACCCGCGUCUGAUUAGCUAGUUGGUGGGGUAAAGGCCUACCAAGGCGACGAUCAGUAGCCGGCCUGAGAGGGUGUACGGCCACACUGGGACUGAGAUACGGUCCAGACUCCUACGGGAGGCUGCAGUCGAGAAUCUUCCGCAAUGGGCGCAAGCCUGACGGAGCCACGCCGCGUGAGCGAAGAAGGUUGGACGAAUGCUCUUCCCGUAAAUAAUGGGAAGGAAUGACGGUACAAUAAGAGGAAGCCACGGCUAACUACGUGCCAGCAGCCGCGGUAAUACGUAGGUGGCAAACGUUGUCCGGAAUUACUGGGCGUAAAGGGCGAGUAGGUGGUUUUAUAAGCGCGGGGUGAAAGGCUAUGGCUCAACCAUAGUAAGCCUUGCGAACUGUAAGACUUGAGUGCAGGAGAGGGAAGUGGAAUUCCUAGUGUAGCGGUGAAAUGCGUAGAUAUUAGGAGGAACACCAGUGGCGAAGGCGACUUCCUGGCUUGUAACUGACACUGAGGCGCGAAAGCGUGGGGAUCAAACAGGAUUAGAUACCCUGGUAGUCCACGCCGUAAACGAUGAGUGCUAGGUGUCGGGUAGCGAUAUUCAGUGCCGAAGUUAACACAAUAAGCACUCCGCCUGGGGAGUACGGUCGCAAGACUGAAACUCAAAGGAAUUGACGGGGGCCCGCACAAGCGGUGGAGUAUGUGGUUUAAUUCGACGCAACGCGAAGAACCUUACCAAGGCUUGACAUCCCCUUGACAGAUGCAGAGAUGUGUCCUCCCCUUCGGGGGCAAGGGAGACAGGUGGUGCAUGGUUGUCGUCAGCUCGUGUCGUGAGAUGUUGGGUUAAGUCCCGCAACGAGCGCAACCCUUAUCAUUAGUUGCCAGCAGGUUAAGCUGGGCACUCUAAUGAGACUGCCGGUGAUAAACCGGAGGAAGGUGGGGAUGACGUCAAAUCAUCAUGCCCCUUAUAUCUUGGGCUACACACGUGCUACAAUGGUCGGUACAAAGGGCUGCGAAAGAGUGAUCUGGAGCAAAUCCCAAAAUUACGAUCCCAGUUCGGAUUGUAGGCUGCAACUCGCCUACAUGAAGUUGGAGUUGCUAGUAAUCGCGAAUCAGAACGUCGCGGUGAAUGCGUUCCCGGGU